AGGUUAUUAACUCAGUGGUGCAACAAGUAAUUGGAAAGGUUCAAUAGUAGUGAAUAUAUGUUAUGUGCAGUGUAGAAUAGAGUUGCAAUAAAUAUAAACAAAAAAGCCCAAGCACAACCAACAAAAACAAAGGGGGUGCAAGAUUAGCACAUGUGGGUGUGCGCAAAGUACAACAAAUGAUCUAGCGGGAAAAGAAAAUUGUGCAAAAGGGGCUUUGCAGAAUGCCG
rnacentral:lncRNA from 1 species